rnacentral:rRNA from 1 species
CACGUAGGGCGCGAGCGUUGUCCGGAAUUAUUGGGCGUAAAGAGCUCGUAGGCGGCCUGUUGCGUCCGCUGUGAAAGCCCGGGGCUUAACCCCGGGUCGGCAGUGGAUACGGGCAGGCUAGAGGUAGGUAGGGGAGAAUGGAAUUCCCGGUGUAGCGGUGAAAUGCGCAGAUAUCGGGAGGAACACCGGUGGCGAAGGCGGCUUCCUGGUCUGCAACUGACGCUGUGGCGCGAAAGCUAGGGGAGCAAACGGG